UAAAGCCUUUUUCCUUUCUUUUUUCAAAUGCAGCCAAUUUUAACAAAAAACCAAACAGCCCUAAAAUUAAUCUGCUAGGGUUUCUAGCAUUCGCCUAAUCCACCAUUUCAUUUGGUGGUCGAUGGUGUACCAACAGUGACCAGAUCCAAUACAUGCCCACGGAGAUUCGAUUCGGCCGUACGGAGGAACGGGGAAACAGCUCAUGGGAGACCGACCCCCUGGCACUAUUCUGGCAUAUUCCAGAAGUUUCUGGUGUUCUUGGUUGUUGAUUUUCUUUAGAUCCAAUUGGGUCUCGGGUUUAGGGUUUGGGUUUAUUCAAUUGGUUUUAAAAAAAGAUGUAUUUGGGCUGCUUUUAAUUUAAUUUACUAUUUGGGCCUGAUGGUUUGUAAAAAACUCAGACUUUAUUUAUUUAUUUUUAAUUGAUUUUUGGUUUUA